rnacentral:lncRNA from 1 species
CUAUGCUUUACGAUACACAAACUCACAGGUCACCAGCCAGAUCACCUACAUGAACCGGCUCAACGCUAACGUUGCGCCUCACGUGUUAAUUUUUGUCGCUUUGCGCUUGAAUUGACAUUAUUGCCCUUUCUCCUACUACAUGCGGUUUUCUUUUGUCUUUGAUUUGUUCUUCGUAAAAAGUAGAAAACAAGUUUUGACAUUUUGCAUUCUGCAUCGCCCGUGGUUUGGUUGUAAUAUAAAUAAAAUAUAUAUAUAUAUAUGAAUUCACAGCUUAUUUUUAUUUGUAAUUUAAUUAAAAAAAUGGU